rnacentral:rRNA from 1 species
AGAGAAGCGCAAAAGAGCGCACGGGGGAUGCCUAGGCAUCGUGUGCCGAGGAAGGACGUGGUACACUGCGAAAAGCUGCGAUGAGGUGUGUGCAACCGCGAGGAGUCGCAGAUGUCCGAAUGGGGAAACCCGCUGCAGGUGUAUACUGCAGCGACCUGUAAAAAGGUCGGGAACCGCGCGAACUGAAACAUCUCAGUAGCGUGAGGAAAAGAAAAGAUUCCGCGAGUAGUGGCGAGCGAAAGCGGAGGAGCCCGUCGUGGAAGCGUUAGCAAGUGAGCGGAACAGUCUGGGAAGACUGGCGGAAGAGGUGAAAGCCCUGUACGCGAAGCGUGCUAAAGCGGAAGCGUCCAAGUGAGUACAACCGGGCACGCUAACCCGGUUGGAAGAGAGGCGGCCCACCGUCUAAGGCUAAAUACACACGAUGACCGAUAGCGAAGUAGUACCGUGAGGGAAAGGUGAAAAGAACCCCGGUGAGGGGAGUGAAAGAGAACCUGAAACCGUGCGCUUACAAGCGGUCAGAGCGCGGAAGCGUGAUGGCGUGCCUUUUGGAGAAUGAGCCACCGAGUUAAUGGCUGUGGCGAGCUUAAGGGGGAAGACACCCGUAGGCGUAGCGAAAGCGAGUCUGAAAAGGGCGAGAGUGGCAGUCAUUAGACACGAAACCUAGUGAGCUACCCAUGGUCAGGUUGAAGCGAAGUUAACCCUUCGUGGAGGACCGCACCGGUAUCUGUUGCAAAAGGUUCGGAGGAACUGUGGGUAGAGGUGAAAUGCCAAACGAACUAGGAGAUAGCUUGUUCUCUCCGAAAUAGCUUUAGGGCUAGCGUGAGGCGAAGUUCUGAGGAGGUAGAGCACUGAAUGGGCUAGGGGCCGCAAGGUUACCAAACCCAAUCAAACUCCGAAUGCCUGAGAAGAAGCCGAGCAGUCGGACGACGUGAGAUGAGUUUCGUCGUCGAGAGGGAAACAACCCAGACCCGCCGCUAAGGUCCCGAAGAGGCAGUUAAGUGGGAAACGAGGUGUACGCGCGUAGACAGCCAGGAGGUUGGCUUAGAAGCAGCCACCCUUUAAAGAGUGCGUAAUAGCUCACUGGUCAAGUGCGUAUGCGCGGAAAAUGUAACGGGGCUCAAAUUGCCCACCGAAGCGCGGGGUGCGCGAGCACGGUAGGAGAGCGUCGUGAGAGCGGAGAAGCUAUACUGGAAGGUAUAGUGGAGCGAAGACGAGCGAGAAUGGUGGCAUGAGUAACGAGAAACAGGUGAGAACCCUGUUCGCCGGAAGUCUAAGGUUUCCGACGGAAGGUCAGUCCGCGUCGGGUGAGUCGGGCCUAAGCCGAGGCCGGAAGGCGUAGGUGAUGGACAACGGGUGAAGAUUCCCGUACCGGUAGAUGGAGCCAAUGGGUGACGGGAUGAGGAAUCCCCAAGAAAAGCCCAGUAACGAAGAAGUCUGCCGCCCGUACCGCAAACCGACACCGGUAGACGAGGUGAGUAACCACAGGCGAACGAGAGAACCCUUGUUAAGGAACUCGGCAAAAAGGCUCCGUAACUUCGGGAAAAGGAGCACCAGCGCGAGCUGGUCGCAGUGAAGAGGCCCUGGCGACUGUUUAACAAAAACACAGGUCUCUGCGAAACCGCAAGGUGAAGUAUAGGGGCUGACGCCUGCCCAGUGUCGGAAGGUUAAGAGGAGGGGUAAGCGCAAGCGAAGCUCCGAAUUGAAGCCCCGAUGAACGGCGGCGGUAACUAUAACCGUCCUAAGGUAGCGAAAUUCCUUGUCGGGUAAGUUCCGACCCGCACGAAAGGUGUAACGAUCAGGGCACUGUCUCAACAAGGGACUCGGUGAAAUUGAAGUAUGGGUAAAGAUGCCCAUUACCCGCAGUUGGACAAAAAGACCCCGUGGAGCUUUACUGUAGCUUGCUAUUGCGUUAGGGCAAGGUCUGUGUAGGAUAGCUGGGAGACUGUGAAGCUGGCUCGCCAGAGUCGGUGGAGUCGCCGGUGAAAUACCAGCCUGACGUUGCUUUGACCCUAACUUAGUGUGUGGAACGCUGAGGACAGUGGCAGGUGGGC